rnacentral:rRNA from 1 species
UAGGGAAUCUUCCACAAUGGACGAAAGUCUGAUGGAGCAACGCCGCGUGAACGAUGAAGGCUUUCGGGUCGUAAAGUUCUGUUGUAAGGGAAGAACAAGUGCCGCAGGCAAUGGCGGCACCUUGACGGUACCUUGCGAGAAAGCCACGACUAACUACGUGCCAGCAGCCGCGGUAAUACGUAGGUGGCAAGCGUUGUCCGGAAUUAUUGGGCGUAAAGCGCGCGCAGGCGGCCUCUUAAGUCUGAUGUGAAAGCCCCCGGCUCAACCGGGGAGGGCCAUUGGAAACUGGGAGGCUUGAGUAUAGGAGAGAAGAGUGGAAUUCCACGUGUAGCGGUGAAAUGCGUAGAGAUGUGGAGGAACACCAGUGGCGAAGGCGACUCUUUGGCCUAUAACUGACGCUGAGGCGCGAAAGCGUGGGGAGCAAACAGGAUUAGAUACCCUGGUAGUCCACGCCGUAAACGAUGAGUGCUAGGUGUUGGAGGGUUUCCGCCCUUCAGUGCUGAAGCUAACGCAUUAAGCACUCCGCCUGGGGAGUACGGUCGCAAGGUUGAAACUCUAAAGUGAAUUGAC